rnacentral:rRNA from 1 species
AUGCUUCUCCUAAAGACUAAGCCAUGCAUGCCCUGAAUAAGAGGAAGCAAUUCUCUCUGAAUCUGCGAACGGCUCCGCAAACCAGUUGUAAACUAAGAGCAAGCAAGUCUGGCGGGCUUCGGCCUCCGAGACGAUAUAGAUAACCCUGGUAAUUCUGAGGCUAAUACAUGACCGCAAAACCGGGCAGCCCAGCAAUGGAUGCUCGGGGAUGUGCGAUAUGGCUUGACUAUGACCGGGAAAGGGCG